UCGGGAAUUUUGGGCAAUGGGCGAAAGCCUGACCCAGCAACGCCGCGUGAGGGAUGAAGUAUUUCGGUAUGUAAACCUCGAAAGAAUGGGAAGAAUAAAUGACGGUACCAUUUAUAAGCUCCGGCUAACUACGUGCCAGCAGCCGCGGUAAUACGUAGGGAGCAAGCGUUGUUCGGAUUUACUGGGCGUAAAGGGCGCGUAGGCGGCGCGGUAAGUCACUUGUGAAAUCUCUGAGCUUAACUCAGAACGGCCAAGUGAUACUGCUGUGCUAGAGUGCGGAAGAGGCAACCGGAAUUCUUGGUGUAGCGGUGAAAUGCGUAGAUAUCAAGAGGAACACCUGAGGCGAGGGCGGGUUGCUGGGCCGACACUGACGCUGAUGCGCGAAAGCCAGGGGAGCAAACG
rnacentral:rRNA from 1 species